rnacentral:rRNA from 1 species
UUGCAAACUGGAGAUGGCGACCGGCGCACGGGUGAGUAACACGUAUCCAACCUGCCGAUAACUCGGGGAUAGCCUUUCGAAAGAAAGAUUAAUACCCGAUGGCAUAAUAGAACCGCAUGGUUUGAUUAUUAAAGAAUUUCGGUUAUCGAUGGGGAUGCGUUCCAUUAGGCAGUUGGUGGGGUAACGGCCCACCAAACCUUCGAUGGAUAGGGGUUCUGAGAGGAAGGUCCCCCCACAUUGGAACUGAGACACGGUCCAAACUCCUACGGGAGGCAGCAUG